rnacentral:lncRNA from 1 species
CUAGAUUAGUUUAACAUGUGAAAUGUCCGUAAAGUAUCAUCACAUGAUUGGUUUUAGGGCACAUUUCCAACACUUAAGUCAAUGGGCUUGACAUUCGAAGCCCAUUGGGCCUUGAAGCCCAAAACUAACCUGAGGUCUAAAACGAACUUAUUCGUUUGAUUAUUAAUUAACAAAUUAAUUAAUCCUAGCCAUAAAUAAGUAAACCAUUUAAUUAACCUUACUCAUCUCCAUUGUUUCUUCACUCUCUACCUUACACGGCAUACAAUCCAUUAGGUUUCUUUUAGCGAGGCAGCGGGCGAUUGUUACUCUUAACGAUCGAUUGUGAAUUGAAACAACAUUCUAAUUCUCCCUUUAAUGAAGAUUACCAAGGCUUCCACAAACCACGAGUGACACCUUGCAGUAUGUCAUGGCUACCUAAGAUAAUUUGAAGAGGUGGAGAACCUAUUCAGUUUAGGAUUACAAUGCAAUACGGUCUUUCUCUAAUACAAUACUCUUGACACCUAGCAGUAUGUCAUGUCUAUUGUCCAAGGUGUUUCUCUUACUUAUAUGAUUACCUCGAAUGUGAUUUGGAAAGACUUCCUAAAUCUCAUUCAUACAUUGGCCAGAGAUUCUUAAUCAUAUCAUAGAGUAUUCUCCCUCAAACGGUUUGAAGGUUAAAGAUCUCUUGUUGCGCAUUCACUUCCCUCCAUGGCUAAGUGGCUUAACCCCAACUAUGUCGUGGACACCCUCUGAUGGAGUGACUUGGACAUGGUCAAAGAUCAAGGACCUAACCACAAGACAACUAUGAUGCGUCACGUCAAAUGACUACUUUGCAUUAUCCCAACCAUCAGUUCUCAUGUGACAUGAGUAUGAGAACUCCUUGUUGAUCGUGUUCAGUGGACUCAUGAUAGGAGCAUAUUUAUGCGACUUAGUUUGUUUUUUUUCUUACAUUUCAUAGCUAAAUUCUACUUAUUAGAGUGUUUUAAGCUAUUUUCAUGUGUUUUCAGGUUCAAAUGACAAAGUUGAUAAGAAAGUGCAAUUUGGAGCAUUUUCGAGCAGUUUUGGGCCAAGAAUGGAUAGCACAUGCAUAGAGCAAGGUGGAUGGAUGUUUUUGAAGUUCAAGAGGCUAGGAAUAUGCUGAAGAGAUGAAGGAAAUAAAAUCAAAACUUGGAAGAUAAGGAAUCAGCUAAAAGGAAGGAACAUUAUCUUAACCAACCUUAUCUUAUCCAACAUUAUCCAAACUAACCUUAUCUUAUCUUAUCAUAUCCUAAUCCUAUCCUACCUUAAUUCCAGCUGCAAGGGGGACUCCUUAUCACAUUAGAAUACCUAAUAUCUGAUUCUAGAAGCCCUGAAACAAUGCAAAUAACCUGAUCCCUUUUUCCCCUAGAAAUCUGACGAAUUUAAUCCCUUCUCUUCUAGAAGUUUGCCGUGCCCUAUCUUUGUCCUCCAAGGAUUGGUGCCAUGAACCCUACCCUAUAUAAACCUAUUUUGCCGCAUCUUUUGGGGGGAUUUUAGAGAGAGAUUUUAGAGAGAGGGUUUUAAAGAGAAAUUUAGAGAAGCAAAAUUAAAAGUGUGUCGUGUUAGUUUAGUUAAAAUUCAUUCAAACCAGUCCCCAUUUAGUAUUUUGAAUCUUUUUAGUUUAAUUUUCGUCCAAAUCACCCUCUAGUUCUUAUUUUGAGUCAAUUUAACUUAGUUUUAUGUUAUUUGAGUCAGUUUAGCUUGUUUUGAGUUGUUUGAGUCUAGUUUUCAGUUUUAAGUUUAAUUUGUGUUGAUUAGCAUCCCUAACUAAUCCCCGGCCUACAACAAUCCCAACUUACGCGUACUACGACUAUCUUAAUAGGUUUAAUUUGUGUGUUAGUUUUUACCACAUCAAUUUUUGGCGCAAUUGCAGGGGAUUAGUAAAAUUGCUAAUCGCUUUAUUUUUUUUUCUUAUGAUAUUUGAUUUAGUUUUAUAUCUUUGAUUUCAGGUACUAUAGAAGCAAGACAUGGCAAUUGCUAAUAUUCUAGCUCAAAUGGUGAAUCUUACUUCUCUUUUGUCGCGGUAUAUCGAAAGGACUGCAAUGCAAAGUGUGGCUACAUUUGGUGUGUCCUAUAGGCAAGGAUAUCAAACUAAUCAACAUCCUCAAUUAAUUGAGAAUGGAGGUUGGGAUGGUGCCAAUGCUUGGCGUUAUCAAGGCCAUAAUCAAUCAAGGAACGACUUGUUUUCCAACAUGUACAACCCUGGUGGGAGAGAUCAUUCAUAUUUUAUGUGGAGGGAACCUCAACAAGUUCAAUAAGAAGGAUAUUGGCAGCAACCUGAGGAGUCCUAUUCAAGACCUAUGCAGCCACCACAAUCUUCCCCACAACAAUCCCAACCAAAUUCAAGUUCGUUAAUGGAUAACGAAAAAAUUCUUUAAGUACUAACUUCAUUAAUGCAGGGCCUACAAAAUCAAGCCAAGGAGAUGGGCGAAUUAAAAAAUCAACUUGGAGAGAUCGCAGAAUUCAUGAGGCUAAUUCAAGAACAAAGUGAACUCUCUAACUCAACUACUGUAAAUUCAACGGGAGGUUUUGAAACUGCUAAUGCUAUCACUUUGAGAAGUGGCAAGGAGAUUGGAACAAAUUAAAA